UAACGCGUGGAUAACCUGCCUCACACUGGGGGAUAACAGUUAGAAAUGACUGCUAAUACCGCAUAAGCGCACAGUGCCGCAUGGUACAGUGUGAAAAACUCCGGUGGUGUGAGAUGGAUCCGCGUCUGAUUAGCCAGUUGGCGGGGUAACGGCCCACCAAAGCGACGAUCAGUAGCCGACCUGAGAGGGUGACCGGCCACAUUGGGACUGAGACACGGCCCAA
rnacentral:rRNA from 1 species